GACGAACGCUGGCGGCGUGCUUAGCACAUGCAAGUCGAACGAUGAAGCCGGAGCUUGCUCUGGUGAAUUAGUGGCGAACGGGUGAGUAACACGUGAGUAACCUGCCCUUGACUCUGGGAUAACUGCGGGAAACUGUAGCUAAUACCGGAUACGACCCUCGGAGGCAUCUCCUGGGGGUGGAAAGAAUUUCGGUCAAGGAUGGACUCGCGGCCUAUCAGCUAGUUGGUGAGGUAAAGGCUCACCAAGGCGACGACGGGUAGCCGGCCUGAGAGGGUGACCGGCCACACUGGGACUGAGACACGGCCCAGACUCCUACGGGAGGCAGCAGUGGGGAAUAUUGCACAAUGGGCGAAAGCCUGACGCAGCGACGCCGCGUGAGGGAUGACGGCCUUCGGGUUGUAAACCUCUUUCAGCAGGGAAGAAGCGAAAGUGACGGUACCUGCAGAAGAAGCACCGGCUAACUACGUGCCAGCCGCCGCCGUAA
rnacentral:rRNA from 1 species